rnacentral:rRNA from 1 species
AAUCAACGCUGGCGGCGUGCCUAACACAUGCAAGUCGAACGCGAAGGGGGCGUUCGGCCCUCGAGUAGAGUGGCGUCCGGGUGAGUAACGCGUGGGUAAGUACUACCCUCCGGGUGGGGAAGUAACCAAUCGAAAGAUUGGCUAAUACCGCAUAAUGCAGCGGCUCGACAUCGAGACAGUUGUUAAAGCCUCUUCGCAAGAAGGGGCGGCCUGAGGAGGAGCCUGCGUCUGAUUAGCUUGUUGGCGGGGUAACGGGCCCACCAAGGCUACGAUCAGUAGCUGGUCUGAGAGGACGGCCAGCCACAAUGGCACUGAAAC